UACGGGGGGGGUAAGCGUUGUUCGGAAUUACUGGGCGUAAAGCGCACGUAGGCGGCUUUGUAAGUUAGAGGUGAAAGCCCGGAGCUCAACUCCGGAACUGCCUUUAAGACCGCAUCGCUAGAAUUGUGGAGAGGUGAGUGGAAUUCCGAGUGUAGAGGUGAAAUUCGUAGAUAUUCGGAAGAACACCAGUGGCGAAGGCGACUCACUGGACACAUAUUGACGCUGAGGUGCGAAAGCGUGGGGAGCAAACAGG
rnacentral:rRNA from 1 species